GCCCAGGUGGUGGAAUUGGUAGACACAAGGGACUUAAAAUCCCUUGAACAAUUUGUUCGUGAGGGUUCAAGUCCCUCCCUGGGCA
rnacentral:tRNA from 1 species